GGAGAGAUGGCUGAGCGGUUUAAAGCGGCGGUCUUGAAAACCGUUGUACCGAAAGGUACCGGGGGUUCGAAUCCCUCUCUCUCCGCCA
rnacentral:tRNA from 2 species